UACGUAGGGUGCGAGCGUUGUCCGGAAUUAUUGGGCGUAAAGAGCUCGUAGGCGGUCUGUCGCGUCGGUCGUGAAAACUUGGGGCUUAACCCUGAGCUUGCGGUCGAUACGGGCAUGACUGGAGUUCGGCAGGGGAGACUGGAAUUCCUGGUGUAGCGGUGAAAUGCGCAGAUAUCAGGAAGAACACCAAUGGCGAAAGCAGCUUUCUGGGACGGUACUGACGCUGAGACGCGAAAGCGUGGGGAGCGAACAGG
rnacentral:rRNA from 1 species